CACAUGGUUUUUACAUAACCAUUGUGGAGUACCCUUGUUGUGUGAUGAGCGAUUGUCAACAUGCCAACAUUUUGGUGGGUUGUUGGUUCGGUGGUUCUACUGAUAUCCUGGCACAGGGUUAUGUGUCGAAACGGUGUCUCUUGGCUUCGUGAUGUGCAGGUGUGGAGUCUGGAUGCGGUGGCAGCGGUCGGGUGAAGGUCAAGUAGGGCGUGCCGUGCUGACGGACCGGUUGCAGUGAAGAGCGGACGUGAGGCUUGGACUGACGGACCAGACGACUGGGUGGCCAGCUGCGGUGGCUGACACUUGGCACAUCGAUAAGCGCAAGUGUACACGGCGGGGGACGCGUACGGGCUACGCUACUCGCGGCGGGUUUCGCGGGUUUGGGCCUCAAAACCCGGGCGGAGGUUCCAAGGCGGAACGGACGACACGUGGCGGCAUCGGUGAGAUCGCUUCGGAGCGAGGCUACCGGUGAGAAGGCGCGGUGGCCGUCGGAUUUAGGUCAUGUCGGGUUGGACUAGAAUGCCCCUGGGGCUAGCUAGUUCGCUCAAGAAUAUCUAGGGGCAUUUGAGGGUUGUGUAAUAUGCCUGAUAAAUAAACAGAGGAGUCCCUCAUCUCCCUUAUCCAUCAAACCUGCUCUCCACCUCUCUCUUGGCUCUCUCCCUUUCUCUCCCGUAGGUCUCUCUGGCUGUAGGUUUUUCCUUUGAGUUCUCUCUACGAACUGAAUCCUUUAUGGUGUAAUUUUUCUGUUGAGAUUUGGUAUGGGAAUGGAGGCCCAAAUCCUCCAGUUGCCCUCUGGGAUUCGUCACAUUUAGCUGUGAUUUUUGUAUGUCCCGUGCAGUAUUCUUAUCCCUGUUUUCUCCUUUCUCGUUUUCUUUUCGAAUUUCAUUGAUUCACGGAGUUACGGUUUAAAUUGAGUAAUGAUUUUCUAGGAGUAGCCUUCUGUCUCUGUUGUGAAUCUCUGUACCAAGUUUGAGAGCCUGAUGUUUUGAUUCUUGUGAGUUCUGUGAAUUUUUGGAUCUGGGAUACCCUCUGUUCUUCAUCGUGGCCAGGCGGUGCAGACCUCGCUGGCUGUGUGCUUCGUAGCAGUGCACGGCUUGCCUAAGUUUUCUGAAGCCACUCUCACUCAGUGCCUUCUAUUGGUUCUCUGAUCGAUCUUGCCGCUAAGACACUGGUGAAGUUCGUGGUUGUUUUAUGUUCGUCAGGUUUCUGUUCAUGUCUGUUUCUGUCGAGUGGAAAGGGCUAGCAGCGGGCCUAUCCAGAGCGCUCCAUUGCUGAGUGCCCCAGCACCAUUUGGUGCCUUCCAUCCUGGAUGAUGCUCGUCCCGAUGGUUGUUCAUCGUUUCUUCUCGUUGUGUAUGAAGCUCAGCGGGUGCAGUCCCUCGCAGUGUGCCGCUGUGUUUUAGUGCUGCUGAGAAGCAGAGUUCAGGGAAGCAAGUUCUUUUCCAGUCCAGGGCUCGUCAAUCUCAGUUCACGGUAAUUUUCAGAGGAGCAUAUUGGUUACGCUCUUGGGUCCAACUACAGCGUGAUGAGACAGCCAAGGACGCUCUCUCAAUGAUGAGCAAGAAGUUAGAAAUAAUUGCUUUAGAGAUUUCCAAUAGGAGUUGGAAACAUUUAUACUAUUUGCUUUAGCGUCCUGAUCGAUUUAUAAGACUAUAGAUUUCACUGUGAUUCUCCCAAACUCUGUAAUAAUUGGCUGUGUACAUCUCUGGAUGUAGAGGCCGGAUAUUUGUUUAUCCAUUAUCUAAAAAAAAGAUAAUCUGCAGUGUGUUUUACUAAUAAGGCUAGCUGUUCGAUUCUAUAUAUAGGGAAACAUGUGUUUUUA